rnacentral:rRNA from 1 species
CCUACGGGAGGCAGCAGUGGGGAAUAUUGCUCAAUGGCCGAGAGGCUGAACCAGCGAAGCCGCGUGAGGGAAGACGGCCCUACGGGCUGUAAACCUCUUUUGUCGGGGAGCAAAGCGAGUCACGUGUGACUCAUUGAGUGUACCCGAAGAAAAAGCAUCGGCUCACCCCGUGCCAGCGGCCGGGGUAAUGGGGGGGAUGCGAGCGUUACCCGGAUUUAUUGGGGUAAAAGGGUGGGCAGGGGGAGGUGCAAGUCAGCGGUCAAGUGGCGGGGCUCAACCCCGUACUGCCGUUGAAACUGCAUCCCUGGAGUGCGCGAGAGGUAAGUGGAAUGCGUGGUGUAGCGGUGAAAUGCAUAGAUAUCAGGCAGAACACCGGUGGCGAAGGCAGCAUACCGGCGCGCAACUGACGCUCAUGCACGAAAGCGUGGGUAGCGAACAGGAUUAGAUACCCGUGUAGUC